GUGAUUUAAGGUUUUCUAACAGUAUUAAAUCUCAGCAGCUAGCUUCCGUCGAAGAUCCUGAAUGGUUUUGUCACUUUAGUAAACACAACACAG